rnacentral:SRP_RNA from 1 species
UCGUGCUAGAUGGGGAACUAGCGGUGCCCUGAACCAUCUCCGGAUGGCUGACUCGCAACCCGCUCUAGCGAGGUCGAAUUCCUUCUCGAGGGCCGUACGUUUCGGGACUGUUCGCUUCAAGUGGCGAUGAAAGUUGGGUCCGACGCGGCGCAAGCCGAUCAACCCCGCCAGGGUCGGAAGACAGCAACGGUACGUCGUCACUUGCGGGCGCCGUCGGGGCACCUGGCUGGAGCUGGCUGAAGCGUCCAAGCCGGGGCGUCCGUCUCGACAGAAGGUGCACGG